UACGUAGGGUGCAAGCGUUAAUCGGAAUUACUGGGCGUAAAGCGUGCGCAGGCGGCUUUGCAAGACAGAUGUGAAAGCCCCGGGCUCAACCUGGGAACUGCAUUGGAAACUAACGGGCUCGAGUGUGGCAGAGGGGGGUGGAAUUCCACGUGUAGCAGUGAAAUGCGUAGAGAUGUGGAGGAACACCGAUGGCGAAGGCAGCCCCCUGGGCUAACACUGACGCUCAGGCACGAAAGCGUGGGGAGCAAACAGG
rnacentral:rRNA from 1 species